UAUUGGACAAUGGGCGAAAGCCUGAUCCAGCAAUGCCGCGUGAGUGAAGAAGGCCUUCCCCCUUGUAAAGCUCUUUUACCCGGGAAGAUAAUGACCGUACCGGGAGAAUAAGCCCCGGCUAACUCCGUGCCAGCAGCCGCGGUAAUACGGAGGGGGCUAGCGUUGUUCGGAAUCACUGGGCGUAAAGCGUACGUAGGCGGCCAUUCAAGUCAGAGGUGAAAGCCCAGGGCUCAACCUUGGAACUGCCCUUGAAACUAGGUGGCUGGAACACGGGAGAGGUGAGUGGAAUUCCGAGUGUAGAGGUGAAAUUCGUAGAUAUUCGGAAGAACCCCAGUGGCGAAGGCGGCUCACUGGACCGUUGUUGACGCUGAGGUACGAAA
rnacentral:rRNA from 1 species